CGUAGGGUGCGAGCGUUAAUCGGAAUUACUGGGCGUAAAGCGUGCGCAGGCGGUUUUGUAAGACAGGCGUGAAAUCCCCGGGCUCAACCUGGGAACUGCGCUUGUGACUGCAAGGCUAGAGUACGGCAGAGGGGGGUGGAAUUCCACGUGUAGCAGUGAAAUGCGUAGAGAUGUGGAGGAACACCAAUGGCGAAGGCAGCCCCCUGGGUCGAUACUGACGCUCAUGCACGAAAGCGUGGGUAGCAAACAGGAUUAGAUACCCUGGUAGUCCACGCCCUAAACGAUGUCAACUAGGUGUUGGGUGGGUAAAAACCAUUUAGUACCGGAGCUAACGCGUGAAGUUGACCGCCUGGGGAUACGGCCGCAAGGUUA
rnacentral:rRNA from 1 species